rnacentral:rRNA from 1 species
GAUGAACGCUGGCGGCGUGCCUAAUACAUGCAAGUCGAGCGAACAGACGAGGAGCUUGCUCCUUCGACGUUAGCGGCGGACGGGUGAGUAACACGUAGGUAACCUACCUAUAAGAGUGGGAUAACUUCGGGAAACCGGAGCUAAUACCGGAUAAUAUUUCGAACCGCAUGGUUCGAUAGUGAAAGAUGGCUUUGCUAUCACUUAUAGAUGGACCUGCGCCGUAUUAGCUAGUUGGUAAGGUAACGGCUUACCAAGGCAACGAUACGUAGCCGAGCUGAGAGGGUGAUCGGCCACACUGGAACUGAGACAGGGUCAAGACUACUACGAGAGGCAGCAGUAGGGAAUCUUCCGCAAUGGGCGAAAGCCUGACGGAGCAACGCCGCGUGAGUGAUGAAGGUCUUCGGAUCGUAAUACUCUGUUAUUAGGGAAGAACAAACGUCUAAGUAACUGUGCACGUCUUGACGGUACCUAAUCAGAAAGCCACGGCUAACUACGUG